UCUUGUGGUCAAAAGAUCGCCAGUAUGAAACACAGAUGAAGGCAGCAGAAGAUCUCAGGGUAUUGUGAUAGAUGAUCACAAGGACAUUUAACAGAAGAUCGAAGUUGUACGUAACAAAAAUCACAAGUGAAAGUGGCUGAGGAUUAAGAGAUUAAGAAAUGUGGCUUGUCAAGAUUGACAGUUUCAACAAACUGAACGUGGAACAGGGCUGCGAUGGUUGAAAGGGAAGAAGUCGAUGUAUAUGACUCUGAAUUUGAAAUGAGGCUUGAUUUCGAUGCACGUAAAAGACAGGAAGCAAACGAGUUAAACAACUCUAAAAACAGAGCAUUUUCUGCAGGUCUGGAACUUUUAGAUAAAGAAAAUGUUAGUAGGUGGAACUGUAGUGAAUACGUUACUGACACUGAUCUCCAUGGUUUCCGAUAUGGCGCAUUGCGGAGAAUCUAAUUACAUGAAAAGCUGUCGACAUUUCAGCUAGACUAAUGUCUUGCAAUACACACGAAUGUGAGCGGCGGCAGUCAGUGACAGUAAUAGGUGUGCACAGACAGAGCGUAGCGACGGCAGUCAGUGACAGUAAUAGGUGUGCACAGACAGAACGUAGCGACGGCAUUCAGUGACAGUAAUAGGUGUGCACAGACAGAACGUAGCGGCGGCAGUCAGUGACAGUAAUAGGUGUGCACAGACAGAAGGUAGCGGCGGCAGUCAGUGACAGUAAUAGGUGUGCACAGACAGAACGUAGCGGCGGCAGUCAGUGACAGUAAUAGCUGCAUACACAGAAAGAACGGCAGUCA
rnacentral:lncRNA from 1 species